CAACAAUAUAUGCAAACAUGGAUGAGUGACUCAAGAAGACAUAUAUACAUGGCUCCAUACAUUGACGGGUCUCAUUGGCAGUUAAUGGUAAUCAUUCCUAAGGAAUAUACCGUGGUGUGGUUUUGUUCACUUCAUCGAAAACCAAGCCAGGAAAUUAAAAGCCAAUUACAUGGAAUCGUGUCUGGAGCUAAUAUAUUAAGUGGAAGAAGCAGAUC